AUGAACAGGUCGUGGGCAGGGAACAGACGACAGUGACUUCCCCUGGUACACGUCUUCAUCCGGUUGCUGCAAGGAUUUGUUUGGUGACGAUAAUCCCUAGCAGGAUUCAUUUACGGAAACUUUUCAUACGAAAGUUCAGGACACUACUCUAUCAUCAAUAUGGGAGACUACAGAUUACCAAGGCUAUUAUUAGUACUGGGACUGUUGUGUGUCCCCUUAAUUAUGGGCAAGCCAGUGCGAAGAGGGCCACCUGCGCCAAAACCAGUGGAGGAAAACUCACCCGAGGAUGUGGACAACACAGGGCUAGCGUAUGACUCGUAUCUACGACAAGUUGUGGAGGUGCUGGAGAGUGACUCAGAGUUUAGGAAGAAACUGGAGACUGCAAAUGUUACAGACAUUAAGAGUGGCAAGAUCGCUAUGUACCUGGAGAUGGUGAACCACACGAUCCGCACAUCCCUGGACGAGAUCAAACGCCGGGAGGUGGCUCGACUUCAGGACCUGGCUCGUCUCGAGAUGCAGGCCGUUUCGGGUACGGAGUUGAUAAUGAAUGCCCUGCUCGGAGGAGGUAUCAAGAACAUGGAGAUCCCCAGCCACUUGGACGUGAGGAACCCACACAGUUUUGAGAUGAAGGAUCUGGAGGCCCUUAUCAAGAAGACCACGUCCGACUUGGAGGAGCUGGACAAGAAGAGGCGGGGCGAGUUCAAAGAGUACGAGAUGGAGAAGGAGUUUGAGAAACAAGAGCACCUGAGAGAGUUGCCGGAGGAGGAGAGGAAGAAGGAGGAACAUCGUCUGGAGGAGCUGAAGAAGAAGCACGCGGAACACCCCAAGCUGAACCACCCCGGCAGCCGCGACCAGUUUGAGGAGGUGUGGGACAAAGUGGAUCACUUGGAGGACCAGGAGUUUAACCCAAAGACCUUUUUCUUCAAACACGAUCUGAACGGUGACAUGGAGUGGAGCAUUGAGGAAGUGGAUGCUGUGCUGCAGAUAGAGCUGGACAAGGUUUACGACGCGCGUAACUCCCCGGACGAGGACGACCCGAUGGAGAGACAGGAGGAGAUGAACAGGAUGCGCGAGCACGUCUUCCAGGAGAUGGACAAGGACCACAACCAGAGGAUCUCCUUCGAGGAGUUCAUCGAGUACACCGGGGCCAUGGGGGAUAACGAGGAGUUCAAGAAAGACGAGGGCUGGAAGACAGUCGAUGAGGAACCAGUGUUCACAGACGAGGACUACAUGCAGUACAUACAGGAACACCACGCUCAGCCUGGAGUCGUCAAUCCUCCCCCAGACCUACGGUUCCAGCAAGAGCAACACCUUCAGCAGCAGCAGUUCCAACAGCAACAGCAACAAUUUCAGCAACAGCAGCAACAAUUUCAACAACAACAGCAUCAGCAACAACAGUUCCAACAGCAUCCUGGCCAACAGCAACAAUUUCAACAACCACCACAACAUCAACAACAACAAUUUCAACAACCACCACAACAGCAACAAUUUCAACAACCACCGCAACAACAGCAACAAUUUCAACAGCCACCCGGACAACAACAGCCAGCCCAGCCACCAGCCAGCCAGCAGGUGAAUCAACAACAACAACAGCAACAACAACAACAGCAACAACAACAGCCGUCUCAGUUGAACAUGAACCAACAGCCAGUAGCCGACCAGCAACAGAUGCAACAGCAGUUGAAAGAUUUGCAGGAAAAAUUAAAUCAACAGCAGCAGGGUCAACAGCAGCAGCAGCAACACAAACAGCCAUAGAGAAGGUCUUCAAGGGGAUAUUACAUAUACCGUUAAGACUGUGUGAGUGUUUGGUGGGGUGCUCUAACGAGUGACAAAGCUACUGCCGGACCGGACAAGAAACUGACUGACCUACGAGAUUUUAAAUUGGCCUCUCAACAAAAUAUUCACGAAGAUCAAAGAUUGCGAUGACCUUCAUCUCUUCCUCCUGCCUGCUUUGCCUGACCUUAUGACCCUUGUGGAUGUCUUCGUCUUCGUCAUCGCGGCCGUUGUCUGCCUACCUGCUUCUACGACGGAUGGCUCGGCCGAGCUCGGCUUGGCCGAUUAUUUUUGUUCUUUGCGAAGAGGAAGGAAAUACAACACUUGCCUUAACUUAUAAUUCCCACCUGGACUUCCAGUCUACAAGACAGCAUCAUGGCUUUGAGGGUCGCGAGACAUCAUCACUUGUGUCCCUUGAGGAGCGCAGGACAUCAUCAUCAUCAUCACUUGUGGGCCGGGUGACAUCAUCGCUUUAGGAGCUUAUGACAUCCCAACAUGUGCGGCCUAAAGGGAAAGGGUUUUUGUUUACGUUUGGGGUUGUUUUUGGGGUGUGUGGGUUUUUUUUCAUUUUCCUUUUCCUUUUAAAAAAAAGAUUUUUAAAGUGGUUUCUACAGAAUGGAGGUUAUGGAAUGCUUUAUUGGGGGUUUUUUCAGACCUCUCAAAGUGGGUGGGUUUUGUUUUGGGGGUCGCUUUUCUUUGAGAGGAGGUGCUUUUGUCGUCGUUUUUCUUUGCUGCCAGAAAAGAAGUCAUGUGUGAGCAAUAUCGGUUUUCUAAAAAAAAUUUCUUCCAGUUUUAUGCUCUGUAGCUUUAUAAUUGUUACUGUAUGCUGUUCUUUCUGCACUUUCUGUCGACACAUCUGUUGUGAAGUUUUACAAAUGGAGAAACAGAGUUUGGUUGUUGUGACAACUCAACAGUUUUUGUGAACUGCAUCCCCCACUGAAUUGUACUUUGUUAUGUCAAAAGGCUGUUGUUAGCAUUUAGAAUGACGAUUUAAGAUAAUCAUGAUGUUAAAUUUUUACCGAAAAGCAUUGGCUCUUCUACUGUAACAUGUCUGUGUAUGUGCAUGGGGGAUAGGGGGGGGGGGGGGUGUAUGGUAUUGAGUUUGCUACCCCUGGACUUGGUUGUUUUCAACACUGAUCGUUGUUAGAGGGACAGGGUAAACAGAAAGAUUUUAUUCACUGUGCUAUAAAUGUUUGUUCUGUUUUCCCAGUUGGAAAUUAUAUUUUGUCAUUUGGCAAGGGACGACUGCAGGACUGUCAUUUCGGAAUGGACAUGUAGUUGUCAAACACAAUCCUUUCCACAUUGUCAUUUUGACAUAUGUAUGUGUUGUUUUCAGAAACAGUCAGUCCUAGACGGUCGUUUCAGCACAUGUGUUGUUUUCUAAAACCGUCAGUCGGUUUUUCACAGCUAGUGUUGUUCUCAUACUCAUUCAGUGCUGUGCCGCACUUUCUGCUUUUCCUUUUCUUUCCUUCUUUCCUUCCCUGCUCAAAGUGGCCAAAGCUGGAGCGGUUUGUCUCAGGGUUUGCUCCCGUUAUAUAAAGCACAAAAAUGUUACACGAGUUUUGAGAAUCAAAAACAUCGGGUGUGAAGGUUCUUCUGUCUGUCAUCAUCUUUGCAUUCCCCUGCUAGAUCUCAGGGGUGGUCGACUUGCUGGUUCUUCAACCUGCAGACUCUCCUUCAUGAUUCUUUUCACUCGCUGCAUAUCCAUGCUCUACAGCAUUCUCUGUGGGCCCUAUAGCUUUUACUUAUAACUCGGAGCCUGAAAGACGCUAUGAUUGGAAAUGGUUAACGCUUUGCCACCUGUUCAUGACUACCGUACAUAAAACGAGGGUUUGGCUCUUCUUCUUCUUCUCAAUGGCAUCUCACUUUUUUACUUUCCCUCUGUUGUUUCUGUCUGUCUGUCUUGCUUUUUCCCCAGCACUUAAAGACCAUUGUUGUGUGGCUGUGCUUCUCUUUACUCAAUGACAGCAACAACUCAAAUUCUUUCUGGAUCCUAACAGGUGGUUGGCGGGUGCUCUUGUGUGGUUUGCUUCUUCUUUCCUGUCAAACAUCAAUCAUCCUUAUCUCAUCUCCUCCUUCUUUUCUUUCUGUAUUACUCUCUUGUAGUAACACCUCAAAUCUUCAACACUUAUGUGACCUAAUUGUGUUGCAAGUGCAGUAAAACUCUUUCCUACAACUCAAACUCAGGAUUCUACUCUGUCCCUGCGCCUGGCUCGUGUCGUGAUAUUACAAGAAAUUUAUCGGCAAUAUUUCGUGUUUGCUUCGUUCAUCGUGCCGUGCUCUGAUUGUUGGGUGGAAGUUUUUUUCUUGUCAAGCGCCGGUGGUGUUAUGCUUUGCUUCCCGUUGUUGCUUUACUAUGUUCCUGAGAUUCAUGGAGACAGGGGUGUGUGGUGUAGGGGAGGGAGGGGGGAGGGGUGUGGGGGAGUUGUUGCCCCAGAAUUUGUUGACGAUUUUUAAUCUUUCUUUUAAACUUUUUGUCUUGAUCAUGACAGAAUUGUCAAAGUCAUUUUUUUUUUAAAUAUUGUGCAGAGAAAACUUGAAAAACAGUGCUUACCAGAGCAGAUUUUUUCGAGACUCAGCUCAGUCCAAAAUUGCUUCAUCGUGAAAGGCACUUUGCAUGAAUUUCCCAUGUGGCUCCAUCAUUUCAGGGAUGGACAUUAUACUGAGAGGUCCCCCCUCUUAAAUUACCUAUUAGUGUUGAUGGUGGCGUUAAACCUUUACCAUUUCACCAUGUUUUUAAAGCAGUGUUUAUAACUCAAGCAAAAAUUAAAAUGUGUAUAAAAAACUUCAAAUUUUCAUACACGAAACAAAACCCUGUUAUAUUGAGGAGACUGACAAAUAAUGGGCAUUUUUACCAUAACAAUAAUAAUUUUGAUUGCAUUUAUGUAUUGCAUAUCUAUGCCCUACAGCAUUCUCUGAGGGCUUUACAGCUUUUACUUAUAACUAGGAAUGAACCUGAAAGAAAAUGACCUUGGCAAUUGUGUUAUGGAGGUCACAUUUUAUUCUUUGAUCUGUGUAAAGGUGUCGGUGAUAAUUUCAUUAUAAUAUAUUAUGUCCUUUCAGUGUGAAUGUUUCUCGCCCAGAAUGUUUCCUCCCCCCCGGCUCAGCGCUGUGUUAUAUAUAAUAUUGUGGUGAUUGGUACGUACUUACUUUCUAUCAGAUUCUAUGGUUGUAGUUCUUUGGUGCAGUUUUUUUGUUUGUUUGUUUGUUUUGUUUUGUUUUUGGGGGGUUUUUUGUAUGUGUGUUUUUACUUUGUUGAUUGUUAUGAUGAUGAACCUUAUGUGUACGGCGGUAUUUUUUUUUUUCCCCUUUCUAUUUUUGCUGGUCACCAUCACUGUGGCUAGCUGUCUACUCUGUGCAGUGUGCUCGUUUUUUCCAGAGGGGGUUAGAGCUGAGAGUAGGAGGACAGGUGUGACCUUGACAUGCUAGACAGUGCGACCUUGACACAUUUGACAAUGCACUUUUGACACUGUCUUGUUGACGCUAGAAGGUGCAACCUUGGCAUAUUUGACAAUGGGACCAUGACACAGCUUGAUAGUACGGUAUGGCCUUGACACACUUCACGGUGUGGCCUUGACAUGCUUGACAGUACGAUCUUGACACACUUGAGAGUACAACCUUUGACACUGUUGACGUUACAACCUUGACACUCUGGACAGUACAGCCUUGACACACUUGAGAGUAUGACCUUGACACAGUUGGCGGUGGGGCUUUGAGACGCGUGACUCGAGUUUCGACGUAUUUGAGAGCAGCAUCUCUGAAGCUUCACAAUGGGAAAGAUGGGUGGUCCUCAUGAGAUUUUAUUCCCAAGAAACCACAGCACAGAUUGUGAAUGGAAGAAAGGAUGAGAACGUCUCCCCGAUUGGAGGAAGAAACCUUUGAGGGUGUUCAUCCUCUCUUUCUAUCUUCUUGCGAUAUUCCCAGUUUGUCAGGGUAUU